CUUGAAGUAUGAGAAGGGCAUCUGGUGGAUGCCUUGGCGUCAAGAGGCGAUGAAGGACGUGACACCCUGCGAUAAGCUUCGGGGAGCCGGGAGUAGGCUUUGAUCCGAGGAUUUCCGAAUGGGGAAACCCACCCUUAGGGGUAUCCCAUGCUGAAUACAUAGGCAUGGGAGGCGAACCGGGCGAACUGAAACAUCUAAGUAGCCCGAGGAAAGGACAUCAACCGAGACUCCGCUAGUAGUGGCGAGCGAACGCGGACUAGCCCAGUGGCAUAUGUUUAAGAACCGGAACGGCAUGGAAAGGCCGGCCAGAGCGGGUGAUAGCCCCGUACGGGUAGAAAGAGCAUAUGUCCUCGAGUAGGGCGGGACACGUGAAAUCCUGUCUGAACAUGGGGGGACCACCCUCCAAGGCUAAGUACUCCUUGACGACCGAUAGUGCACCAGUACCGUGAGGGAAAGGUGAAAAGCACCCCGACAAGGGGAGUGAAAGAGAACCUGAAACCGGAUGCCUACAAGCAGUCGGAGCCC
rnacentral:ncRNA from 1 species